rnacentral:lncRNA from 1 species
UGGCCUGCAUGGACGGCAUCACCCAGCUCCCUGCCCUCUGGCUUCCAUGGAAUUCAGCCAGUGGGGAGUCCCCGAGAAGCCCGGAAGCAGAGGGUGGAUGCUUCCCUUGACCAAGGAUCUCAGCCUCUAUCAGGAUGCAGAUACUGCUGGUCCAGAGGCCACACUUGGAGAACCACUGGUGUAGUGCAACCUGCUGAUAGCAUGCCUGGAGCCCCUGCACCCACGCGGGUGCACCCAUCCCUCAGCUACUGUGGAUAUUGGCUGCUAAUGGCUCCCAGCUGCCCCUCUGCUGGGGUCUCACCAUCUGCUGAUGGGAAGCACCUUGCCCUGGAGGUUACCCACCCCCCAACAGCGCACAGGUGCCUCCCCAGCUUGAGACAGACCAGGAGAAACCUCAUCCAUGCACAUUCUCCAGAAGGGACCAGGAAUGAUGAGAUGUUCCACUUCCAGCUCUUUGAGUUUCUCCAUGGCUCCCCCACCCCACUCUCCAUCCCAUCCUCCCCUGGGCUGAGCUGACAGCUGUCAGGCUAAGAGGAGUGACAGCUGAAAAAUUCCCACACCCUCCAAUAUUGGAGCAGAUGAGUAUGGAGACAACUGAGGAACCCAGAGUGUCUCCCAGCUGGAGACACCAAUUCCAAAAACAGGACUCCCAAAUCAUUGUCUCUUAGUAUCAAGAUCUCUCCUUCCAACAGUGGAGCCCAGGUA